rnacentral:rRNA from 1 species
CCUACGGGAGGCAGCAGUGAGGAAUAUUGGUCAAUGGGCGCGAGCCUGAACCAGCCAAGUCGCGUGCAGGAUGACUGCCCUACGGGUUGUAAACUUCUUUUAUACAGGGAUAAAGUGAGGCACGCGUGUCUUUUUGUAAGUACUUUAUGAAUAAGGAUCGGCUAACUCCGUGCCAGCAGCCGCGGUAAUACGGAGGAUCCAAGCGUUAUCCGGAUUUAUUGGGUUUAAAGGGUGCGUAGGUGGGUUGUUAAGUUAGUUGUGAAAGUUUGGGGCUCAACCUCAGAAUUGCCAUUGAUACUGGCAGCCUUGAGUGCAGUUGAGGUAGGCGGAAUUUGUGGUGUAGCGGUGAAAUGCUUAGAUAUCACGAAGAACUCCGAUUGCGAAGGCAGCCUACCAAACUGCCACUGACAUUGAGGCUCGAAAGUGUGGGGAGCAAACAGGAUUAGAUACCCCAGUAGUC